rnacentral:rRNA from 1 species
CCUACGGGUGGCAGCAGUGAGGAAUAUUGGUCAAUGGGCGCGAGCCUGAACCAGCCAAGUAGCGUGAAGGAUGACUGCCCUACGGGUUGUAAACUUCUUUUAUAAAGGAAUAAAGUGAGGCACGUGUGCCUUUUUGUAUGUACUUUAUGAAUAAGGAUCGGCUAACUCCGUGCCAGCAGCCGCGGUAAUACGGAGGAUCCGAGCGUUAUCCGGAUUUAUUGGGUUUAAAGGGAGCGUAGAUGGGUUGUUAAGUCAGUUGUGAAAGUUUGCGGCUCAACCGUAAAAUUGCAAUUGAUACUGGCAGCCUUGAGUACAGUUGAGGUAGGCGGAAUUCGUGGUGUAGCUGUGAAAUGCUUAGAGAUCAUACAGAACACCGAUUGCGAAGGCAGCUUACCAAACUAUAUCUGACGUUGAGGCACGAAAGCGUGGGUAGCAAACAGGAUUAGAUACCCGAGUAGUC